rnacentral:misc_RNA from 1 species
UCAAACUUGGUCAUUUAGAGGAAGUAAAAGUCGUAACAAGGUUUCCGUAGGUGAACCUGCGGAAGGAUCAUUAUUGAAAUGACUCGAAGUGGACUGUUGCUGGCCUUUCACAAGGCAUGUGCACGUCUUCUUUAGGCUUCUAUGUCUUAUAAACUCUAUUGAAUGUAUUUGAAGGUCAUUUACUGGGACUUAACUGGCCCUUUAAACUUAUACAACUUUCAGCAACGGAUCUCUUGGCUCUCGCAUCGAUGAAGAACGCAGC